rnacentral:rRNA from 1 species
AUUGAACGCUGGCGGCAGGCCUAACACAUGCAAGUCGAACGGUAACAGGAAGAAGCUUGCUUCUUUGCUGACGAGUGGCGGACGGGUGAGUAAUGUCUGGGAAACUGCCUGAUGGAGGGGGAUAACUACUGGAAACGGUAGCUAAUACCGCAGAACGUCGCAAGACCAAAGAGGGGGACCUUCGGGCCUCUUGCCAUCGGAUGUUCCCAGAUGGGAUUAGCUAGUAGGUGGGGUAACGGCUAACCUAGGCGACGAUCCCUAGCUGGUCUGAGAGGAUGACCAGCCCCACUGGAACUGAGACACGGUCCAGACUCCUACGGGAGGCAGCAGUGGGGAAUAUUGCACAAUGGGCGGAAGCCUGAUGCAGCCACGCCGCGUGUAUGAAGAAGGCCUUCGGGUUGUAAAGUACUUUCCGCGGGGAGGAAGGGAGUAAAGUUCAUACCUUUACUCAUUGACGUUACCCGCAGAAGAAGCACCGGCUAACUCCGUG